UUCACUCUCCAAGCCAAAAGUUCAAAACAAGUUCCUCUCAAGUCCCUCACCUGAGAAUCAAUUUUGUCGCGCCGAAAAUCUCUUUUGGUGCCAGUAGAGGUCCAAGUUACCUCAUAUCUAUCCCCACAUGCUCUCCUCCACUCCCUCUCUCACAAUCUCAAGCUAAUUUCUCUAAACUCCUAAUCAUUUCACCAAAUUGAGCCAAACAAACCAAAAACCCUAGGUUAAAUAAAUUGAAAUUAAAUGGCGUUGAGGAGGAAUCAGAGCCCAAUAUAUUAGGGCUUUGAUUCCUCAUGCUUGAGUCUACAUGAAGGUAACUUGCUUGAGGAAAAACAAAGAAGAAGGAAUGAAAAAUCACCAACCUAUAGGGUCGAGGUUCACCCUGGUGAUUACUGAAGGUUCAAAAAGAUGCUUAUGAAGAGAAAACCAUAGGUAUUAACAGUAAUUCAUUUCCACUUGCUACAAGGCUGAUAUGACAAUGUCUUGGCAAAGUAUGGAUCAAGGUUGGCAUUGAAGGAACAUCAUCAUGGCAUAACAUGGAUUACUUGGCCAUGAAGCAAUUUGAGAAUAUGGAAGAGUGAUGAUCAAAGUGAAGUUGAAGUGGAAUUAGGUUUAGAGUAAAUGUUUGGGUUAGGGUAUGUAGUUGACUUUGGUCAACUGUUUGACCAAAAAGUCAAUAGUUGAUCUAAAGUCAAUUGUGGUAAAAUGUGUAAUUUUGUGUAAUUCUCAUGGUUUUGGACUUUGUAAUAUGAUGUUUGAUGGUUUGUAAUACAAAUUAGUCUUUUGAAAUUAA